UACGAGGGGGGCGAGCGUUGUUCGGAAUUAUUGGGCGUAAAGGGUGCGUAGGCGGUUUGAUAAGUCUGAUGUGAAAUCUAUGGGCUCAACCCAUAGCCUGCAUUAGAAACUGUCGGGCUUGAGUAUGGGAGAGGUGAGUGGAAUUUCCGGUGUAGCGGUGAAAUGCGUAGAUAUCGGAAGGAACACCUGUGGCGAAAGCGGCGCACUGGACCACAACUGACGCUGAGGCGCGAAAGCUAGGGGAGCAAACAGG
rnacentral:rRNA from 1 species